UCCGCAGUCAGCAGGAUUCGAACCUACGCGGGCAGAGCCCAAUUGAUUUCUAGUUAAUCUCCUUAAC
ensembl:ncRNA F22F1.10 ncRNA